UACGAGGGGGGCAAAUGUUGUUCGGAAUCACUGGGCGUAAAGGGAGCGUAGGCGGGUUUCUAAGUCAGGUGGUUAAUCCCGGGGCCCAACCCCGGACAGGCACUUGAAACUGGGAAUCUUGAAUAGUGGAGAGGUCAGUGGAAUUGGGGGUGUAGCGGUGGAAUGCGUAGAGAUCCCCAAGAACACCAGUUGCGAAGGCGGCUGACUGGACACAUAUUGACGCUGAGGCUCGAAAGCAUGGGGAGCAAACAGG
rnacentral:rRNA from 1 species